GACGAACGCUGGCGGCGUGCUUAACACAUGCAAGUCUAGCGGAAAGGCCCUUUCGGGGGUACUCGAGCGGCGAACGGGUGAGUAACACGUGAGUAAUCUGCCCCUGGCUUUGGGAUAGCCACCGGAAACGGUGAUUAAUACCGGAUACGACCACUUCUCGCAUGGGAUGGUGGUGGAAAGUUUUUCGGCCAGGGAUGUGCUCGCGGCCUAUCAGCUUGAUGGUGAGGUAAUGGCUCACCAUGGCUUCGACGGGUAGCCGGCCUGAGAGGGUGACCGGUAACACUGGGACUGAGACACGGCCCAGACUCCUACGGGAGGAAGCAGUGGGGAAUAUUGGACAAUGGGCGGAAGCCUGAUCCAGCAACGCCGCGUGAGGGAUGACGGCCUUCGGGUUGUAAACCUCUUUCAGCAGGGACGAAGCGCAAGUGACGGUACCUGCAGAAGAAGCACCGGCCAACUACGUGCCAGCCGCCGCUGUAA
rnacentral:rRNA from 1 species